rnacentral:lncRNA from 1 species
AGCGUCCGCGUGGUGACCGUGUAUAUUUCAUAUUAGGUUAGUAGGGAGGCGGGGCUUAAUUCAUACACGGUUAGUAGUGGUGUUACGUCCCUUUAUAUUCCAUAUUAGGUUAGAAGGGAGGCGGGGCUUAUUUCAUACACGGUUAGUAGUGGUGUGACGUCCCUUUAUAAAAACAAAACGGUACUGAGAAACAAACUUAAAGGUUUCAACAGACG